ACCAUUAGCCUUAACUAUCUUCAUUUUCUUUCGCUCAACACCGAACAUAAACCCAAAGAAAAGAAAAAGAAAGGCUGAGAGAGAAUGUGAUGCUUCCAUGGAAACCGUGAGUUUUCGAUUUUAAUUUCUUGCGAUCCGUAACUCCAAUUAAAAAUCUAAUCCGGUAAAAGUGUUCGUAUCUUCCUCCUUUACGUGUUGGCGUUAUUUUUGUUCGGUGAAAGUCGACGGUGACGUAACUUUCUUACCCCUUGAGCUUGGCCAACUGGAGUUCUACGAGGCACAGAGAAUUCCGGACGUUUUUCCUUUCAGCAGCUCGGUCAGAAAAUUUCUCCAAAAUUUUCGUUGAUUUUGAUUUCGUAUGAAGGUAGGGGAUUUAUUUUUAAAGAUAAACGUUUUUAAUUUAGAAUGCCCACAAAAUUAAUUGAAUAAUUGCAAAUAUAUAUAUAUAUAUAUAUAUAUAUAAUAGUAAUGUUAUUGAGUAUGGAUUAUUGCUGUGAAUGUGACUGUUUUCUGAUUAUUAAGAAUUUUGCUGAUUUGAGAAUUGUUGAGAAAUAGGGAACUCGUAAGGGUGGUUUAGACCGAAUUUUAGAGAAAAUACCGCCGAAAUUUUAUAAAAACUGAGGUUUUAUUUGAAAAGUUAUUUUAAAAGAUUUGGUUUUGGAAAAUUAAAUUAUUUAAAAUACAUUUAGUUAGGAAAAAAUUUACUCUAUUUUAAAGUUUGAUUUAUUAAGAAAAAUAUAAUGUUUUAAAUCCAAUCUUUUAAGAAGAGAUUUUGUUUUAAGUAAAGAUUUAAGCUCGGUUUAUUAAGAAAAGGAAUCUCUACCACAGGAGAGCAGAGAACAAGGAUUUAAAGAAUAUAUUAAUUAAUGAAGUGUCUGCCAUAGGAGAGCAGAUGUGACAUUGUUUGGGCCUUAGUGCCAAAUGUAAAGUGGGGACGCCCACACACUAAGAACUAUUUUCCAGAUGUACGCUUAUUGAUUUGGAAAGUCACACUGAUGCGGCCUAGCCGUACGACUUAUAAGCACAUUGAUGCAUCUGGAAAGCCAUAUCUAGGACUUGUGCCCGGGUAAUGUCGGGAGCGGGUAGGCAACCGACACAUGAGCUCAUGGCCUGCGUUAGGGAUAGACAUGCAUCAUGUUGUUUGCACAUUUGCAUUUGAUUGCGCUUGCUUGUCUUAUUACUUUGUGAUUGUAUUGUUUGUCUUGUUGUGACUUGCUUGUACUUUGAAUUGAAUCUCUUGCUUGCACUACUUGUUUGUGAGUGUAUUUAAGUGAUUACGAGUUGACAUUUGACUGAGGAUUAAUAUGUGGCUGAGAGACAGAAAGUGUGACUAAUUUUAUAUUUGAUUUUUGUUUUGAGUUAAGAGAUUUUAAAAGAAGGUAAUUAAUUAUCUAAAGUAGAACCAAGAGUAUUUUCAAAGGGUUUGAUAAAAAUAUAUUUUUAUUGAGUAAAGUUAAUUAUUUGCAUUUUAUUCCAUUACUUUUACGGCAUUCCCAUUCCCUACUGAGAACGUGUGGUUUGUUCUCACCCCAAAAUCUUCCACCCUUUCAGUGACAGGUUUGAAGAUUCAGUAAGAAGCUGCAGACGAUUAGUAGAUUUACUUGUGAUUCCUGUUGUUUUUAUAGAGUUCCCUCGUUCUUGUUGCUUUAGCUUUUAUUUUAUCCAGAGGGAUAGGUAUUGUAUUUGAGUUUUACACUGAAUUUAAUUGCAUAGCAUCUAUUAUUACUAAUAAUUAUGUGAUUAUUAUUUGAAGAUCUUUUGUUAUGUGAUUUUAAUUACUAAAAUCUUUUUCUGAAAUUUUCUUAAAAACUGAAACACGACAUCGACGUAAAGGCUCAAUAGUAAAUUUAUAAUAAAGGAAAUCAGGUCCGUAACGCCUUACUUUUGGUACGAUCAUGACGUGCUAAAAGUUAGGGUGUUACAUCUUGCAUUCUAUGGCGUAGCUCUUGCAUUAUUCUGGCGUGGUUGUCGCCAGUUCCCCCAAAGGGGCGUCUCUCGUGUGACUGUGUCGCGUCCCUGGGGGGCGACCUCGGGUGUUGGCGGGUUUCCGUCGCGGCGGCGCCCCCUCCGGGCACGGCCUCGCAGCCUGUCUCGGUUUGGACUAGCACGAAGUCCAUGGACGAAGUCCCCACAGACGGCGCCAAUGUUCGGUAGGUCAUGUACCGGACGGGUCGGGUUGAGAUCCUGAUGAGUGGUGGGGUCACGUCUGAUCCUGGACUGCCGGGCAGGUGUACACGAGGCCCCGAGUACUUCGUGUGGAAAAAAGGGGGGUGUCACCUGCAAAGACACUCCGAUGCUCUUGUCAGUGAAUGUGCAGGCGAAAAAGGGUGGUGUGAUAUGUGACGUACCUCGAGGGAAGGGUAAAACCUUCCCCUUAUAUACUGUGUCAGAGUUGGACCCAGCAAGGACAGACCCACUUUCUUUGGAGCGUCCUACUCACAGCGGUGGAUGAGCUGUCAGAGACGCGAGUCCGGGUCGGUUGCAGGGCGUCUCACUCGACCGUUCGGGUCGGGUGAUACUCGGGCCGGGCCAGCCCGUAAAGGGUUUGGGCCAGGCCGUAAAAUUUUAAAAGUGUAUGAAGCCGAUGAAGUUCACAAUGUUCCCCUGUUGAGUGAUAAAGAAGUCCGAGAGUUGUUGAGUAGAAAAGCCUUCGAGAGAGAGGGUCCAAGCAACAAUUCUACAUCAAAAUUUAUUAAUAUAUCAUAUUAAGUGACACCACCUUAAUUAAGUUAGACCAUAACAUAUACUUAGUGAUUUUAGUUGAGGAAUAACAUGAUAAAUUUAUGGAAUUAGAUCAAACCAACUCUAAAUUAAAAGAAUUUUUGAGGUAUUGAAAUUCUUUAAUUUAGAAUUAAUUUAAUGUAAUUUUAUAAAUUUAUUAUAUUAGUAGUCAAUUAAAACGAUCA
rnacentral:lncRNA from 1 species